GACAGAGGGGGCAAGCGUUGCUCGGAAUCACUGGGCGUAAAGGGCGCGUAGGCGGGAUGGCAAGUCAGUCGUGAAAUCUCUCGGCUCAACCGAGGAAACGUCGGCUGAUACUGCCGUUCUUGAGGGAGUGCAGAGGAGACUGGAAUUCCCGGUGUAGCGGUGAAAUGUGUAGAGAUCGGGAGGAACACCGGUGGCGAAGGCGGGUCUCUGGGCAUCUCCUGACGCUGAGGCGCGAAAGCGUGGGGAGCAAACGGG
rnacentral:rRNA from 1 species